AUGUUUCCCAAAUUAUUCCAAUACUCGGGAAAAUUUCCCCAAACCCGGAACUAUGAGACACUUUUACCUUGCCCUUUCUCCGUCUCAAGACAGUGACUUAACCUUGUUAAACUUCAGAAACGGAAGAAGGCGUUGUCUUUAGUCAGAGCGAGAAAGAAUAAGAAAAGAAGAGAGAGAGACCAGCGGCAGCAGCUUUCCCUGUCAAUAAGAUUCUGUAGCAAAAACGUUUCUUAAACGGAAGCAAGCGGAACGAAACGGGGAGGGACCUACCUGAAUUUGUCCAACAGAAACUCUCGUUACACCGCAGAUCAGCGAGAUGCAGUGUCUUAGAGCUUGACAAGCUGCCUGUCCUCCAGUGAGAGAGGUGACCAGGAGAGGUGACCAGGAGAGGUGAGAGGUGACCAGGAGAGGUGACCGGUGACCAGGAGAGGUG